rnacentral:rRNA from 1 species
CCUACGGGAGGCAGCAGUGAGGAAUAUUGCACAAUGGGGGGAACCCUGAUGCAGCGACGCCGCGUGGGUGAAGAAGCCCCUCGGUGCGUAAAGCCCUAUCGGCAGGGAAGAAACAGACGGUACCUGACUAAGAAGCCACGGCUAACUACGUGCCAGCAGCCGCGGUAAUACGUAGGGGGCACGCGUUAUCCGGAUUCACUGGGUGGAAAGGGGGCGUAGGCGGCGACGCAGGUCUGGAGUGAAAGGCCGGGGCCCAACCCCGGGACUGCUCUGGAAACUGCGGCGCUGGAGUACGGGAGGGGUAGGCGGAAUUCGGGGUGUAGCGGUGAAAUGCGUAGAUAUCAGGAGGAACACCGGCGGCGAAGGCGGCCUGCUGGACCGUGACUGACGUUGAGGCUCGAGAGCGUGGGGAGCAAACAGGAUUAGAUACCCCAGUAGUC